AGGACAGAGCAGCGUCGAUACCCUAUACAAACCUGAUUUUUUUUCACUUCAAAUAUUUUCCAACUCGAGCUAACAAAAAUAUAAAUAAAUAAAUAAAAUUCAUUCCGAUAAAUUCAGGUCGGUCUUCACGGGUGAAAUUGGCAUCGCCAAAAUAGAGCUGUUAAAACUUGAGGGAAAUAUUGUUUUAUUAUGAAGGGAAAGACGUCGUUUUUGGCGGCCAUCACAGUCAACAUUAGGAGGCGGUAAACCGCCAUUGAAGUAGAUAGAGAGUUUCAUUGACCAGGCAUCAGGUGCUCUCUCUCUCUCGUAGAUUUUUUUUUGAAUUCUAUGUGUUUAGAUUUGCGUUAUAGGAGUUCUUUUGAACAAGUUCCAUCUGUUUAGAUUUGCAGGGCAGUUUUUCUCGUUUCCUGGGUGUUGAGGAACCAUUUUGUGUCGUGUUUUUUGACCAUUGCAUAAUAUGCUUGUUAUGUAACAGGUGAUACUCCAGGAAGCUCAAAGGUUAAGGAGUUCGAGAGACCCAUGAGACUAGCUGCAUUGUCUACUUACUGUAAUAUGCUCGAUAUAGACAGUUUUAGUGAACUUUCUUUUAGCAUAACAUAAUUUCCUGUUUUGAAUUAACCAAGUUUCUUUUAAUUUCACUUUUUACUAAGAACUUGAUGCAACCCUGAAAUGACUGCCUUUCUAGGAAGCAUAGCCUCUUGCUUUGCACUUCCUGAGGGUUAGUUGCUCUGCCUAUAGAUUAUGCUCUAGGUGCUACCAUAUGUUUUUCUGUAUGAUAAUUUCUGUAGUAUUGCAUGUCAAACAAUAUAAAAAUUUGAUCGGAGACAAUCGCUCGUUUUA